rnacentral:lncRNA from 1 species
CACAACACUGAGAUGAAGGCGAAGUCACCAUGAAAAGUUAAACGUUUACCGUUAAGCUACAGUAAUUGAUGUUGAAAAACUGAUGCUACCAAUCACUCCUCACUUGAUUAUUCAAGCCCAGAUAGUGAUGGACCUGAAAUGCGACACUAGUUAGACAAGAACCGAAUAAAGCACAGAUGUGGAGGGAUUUACAGCCAAACUAACUGGAGGGAAGGAACCUUUAGUGUGGGUGAACAUACUACCUGGAUGUCCAACAAAGGCUGCACAAGAGCUCAUUUGAUAGCACAUAUUCUGUCCUGUCUACAUCUCUGAUGACCUGGAAGUGCUUCGACAUCAGAUCAUCAUCAUGCUGCUGACCUUUUUCACUGUCCCUUUCCACAUCAUUUGGCCUUCAUCAUUUCCUGUCUUGUAGCAGUAUUUUCACCUGUUUUUAAAAUUGUAAUAAUUUUUGAUGCAUUAAUUGUUGAUUGGUUUUAAUGAUCAAUUGUUUAUUAGUGUUCCGUUGCUUUGUUAUAUUGAAUUAUUGCUACUGUUUUAGCAUGGUUUACACAAUAAACCUUUAUUGUGAA